GAUGAACGCUGGCGGCGUGCUUAACACAUGCAAGUCGAACGGAAAGGCCCAAGCUUGCUUGGGUACUCGAGUGGCGAACGGGUGAGUAACACGUGGGUGAUCUGCCCUGCACUUCGGGAUAAGCCUGGGAAACUGGGUCUAAUACCGGAUAGGACCACAUUUUGGAUGGUGUGGUGGAAAGUUUUUCGGUGUGGGAUGAGCUCGCGGCCUAUCAGCUUGUUGGUGGGGUAAUGGCCUACCAAGGCGUCGACGGGUAGCCGGCCUGAGAGGGUGUACGGCCACAUUGGGACGGAGAUACGGCCCAGACUCCUACGGGAGGCAGCAGUGGGGAAUAUUGCACAAUGGGCGCAAGCCUGAUGCAGCGACGCCGCGUGGGGGAUGACGGCCUUCGGGUUGUAAACUCCUUUCGCUAGGGACGAAGCGUUUUUGUGACGGUACCUGGAGAAGAAGCACCGGCUAACUACGUG
rnacentral:rRNA from 1 species